CAGAUUCGUUGGGCUAGCUUAAAAUAAUAACUGAAAAAAGUAUGGCCCAACUUUAAAACUUACAAAGUAAAUGACUUUUUUACCCCUAUCUAUUUAAAGUAAGCGCAAUUUGAACUGGUUCUCUAUCGUUUUCAUUAGGCUUGACGUUUUGGAGCUCUGGUUCGUUUAGCUGCGAUUGGAGCUCUAAUUUUCUGGCAGAAUCGAGGUUAGUUUUGGUGUGCGAUUUCUGUGCUCUGAUUCGAUCUUAUUUCUCCUAUUUCAAGCUCAGUUUUGUAUCUUCUUCGUAUUGUUCAAUUUCAUCUUCGGACUUGAAAUUGUAUUUUUCUAUUGUUGAGGUGACAUUAUAUAUUGUUAACUUAGGCAGUUGGAGUACCGGGCCAUCUGAUUGGAGGUUUGCAGCUACCACCAUUUCAGAGUACAUAGGCUUAGGUGAUUAUAAGUACGUUGGUAAAACUACAAGAAAAUAUGAUAUCUUAAUUGGGUGUUUCAUAUACUAUUUAGGCUAUGCAUCCCACGAGCACAAC